UUAAGGAGGAGCUAUGUCUAAGAGGCCAAGAGGGAGCUGAGUGACGUGAUGUAAGCAAGAUCAUCUUACCUAAAGUUGCAUUGCAUCAUGCUAACAGGAGUUUCAAAGAAAGGACGAGUGGAGUGAAGAAGGGCAAGUCAAAGAUGCCAUCCCAGUUCACAGAACUCUUCCCAUGGAAAAAAUGGGACCGCUUAUUAUGGGGGUACAAAAGUUCAGCUUAUAUACAUUGCCCAUGUACCACCCAUCCUCCCGAGUCACAGCUUCAAGCGUGUCCAUUC